ensembl:lncRNA
ACUUGUUUUUAUUAUUCUUAUAUAUUUCCUUAAUAAAGAUAUUAGGUAGUUAUUGGCCUCCGUGUUUGGUUCUUGGUGCUCCGUAGCCUUGGGCGUGACAGGGAGCAUCGUCUAGGCAUGGCGAGGAAAGGGAAGGCGAGCUGAGGAAAGGGAGAGAGAGCCACCACCGGCCUCACAGGCUGGGCUGGGCACAAAGAGAAGGUUCUGAGGAGGGUUUUUGUUCAGUCACAUCAAGCGGCGCAGGCAGUGCAGGCCGCGGAGGGCACCAGCUUGGCUCUCGCUGUGUCUUAUCGUGGACCUGUUUUGGAUGACUGCACCCUCUUCGGACUUUGGAUUGAAUUUGACCUGGCUUCUGUCUAUGCCCUCUGACUGACGGCUACUCCCGGCUUCUGACUAUUGGUUUGUCUUUCGGAAUUUCUGCUGCCUCCUGACCUGACCUUGGAUUCUUCUGACGACGGCUAUUCAUCAUCCCUUUGAGGCUCUCGGCUUAUCUGCACCGUGGAAGCAGCUUUACUGCUUUUCUAGUUUGUUUAUUUUCCAGCAAUUAACUCUAUUUGUUUUCCAAAGCUGAAUUGAAGUGUUAUUUAGUUUUUUAUUGAAUGCCAGCAUGGGAAAUUAGCGUGGCUCGUUUUUGAGUUAUUAUUGUCCAAUCUACUCUCGAAACACUGAAAAGUGAAGUGUUUCAAGGAUAUUUCCUGUGUUUAUGUUAUUUUUUGGCUUAUCUUCGGAAUAAACUUUGUUUUGUAUGUUAACUGGCGUCUGACUCUUGACAGGUCUUUACACAAAUACCACUUCUUCAUGAAUUAUCUUGUGAAAUGGUGCUUAUGAGAAGCUGUUGUCUGAAUCCUUUCUAAUGUGAGUUGGAAAAGCAUCCGUCCAGUCCUAAAGAGCUGGAAUCAUUUCACUGAAAGCAAAUUAACUGAGGUCUCCAAAAAUCAAGACUCUUUUGAAAAUGUGUCACCAGUUCUUGUCAGUAUUUUAAACCUAUGGAUUGGUGGUACAUCAACUGGAUCCAACCUCAAAUCCAUGGUCUAUCAGGAAUGUUAAACUCAUUUUCAUCAAAGGCCACAUUAGCCUUAUGAUUGUUUUCAAAAGACUGCUUUUAAUUGAAAGACUGUUUAAAUGUAACUAUGUUGCCCUGGCAUUGAAAGCCUCAGGGACCACAUAAAAUGAUGUGGUACUCACAUUUGGCCUAUGGGCCUUACGUUUGACACAUAUGGUCUAGAUUAAAGCUCUGAGACUUGUCCAUUUGAGUGAAAUUGCAGUCAGUGUUUUCCUUCCCAAAGUUUCAGUGUUUGGAUGAUGACAGGGAACCCUGGCUGUGCUGGAAACCACCAGUGCAAGGUUUCUGAAUUGCCUUCAGGUGGAUGUUCCUGAAGGAGUAGUCCCUCUUGACUACAUCUAGCAAGUUGAGACACAAAUAUUGUGCAACACAAUAACUGGGCAGCAGCUGUGAAAAGGAGAGCAUUGGUGGUUCUCAAAGGACUGCUUUUCCUGUACUUCAUUUCUUCACAAACAGAAACAAAAAUGCAUCUUAUAGGCAGACAAGAUAGAUAAUGACUUCUUCUUAGACUAACUUUGAUUCUUA